rnacentral:rRNA from 1 species
GAUGAACGCUGGCGGCGUGCCUAAUACAUGCAAGUCGAGCGAACAGACGAGGAGCUUGCUCCUCUGACGUUAGCGGCGGACGGGUGAGUAACACGUGGAUAACCUACCUAUAAGACUGGGAUAACUUCGGGAAACUGGAGCUAAUACCGGAUAAUAUAUUGAACCGCAUGGUUCAAUAGUGAAAGACGGUUUUGCUGUCACUUAUAGAUGGAUCCGCGCCGCAUUAGCUAGUUGGUAAGGUAACGGCUUACCAAGGCAACGAUGCGUAGCCGACCUGAGAGGGUGAUCGGCCACACUGGAACUGAGACACGGUCCAGACUCCUACGGGAGGCAGCAGUAGGGAAUCUUCCGCAAAGGGCGAAAGCCUGACGGAGCAACGCCGCGUGAGUGAUGAAGGUCUUCGGAUCGUAAAACUCUGUUAUUAGGGAAGAACAAAUGUGUAAGUAACUAUGCACGUCUUGACGGUACCUAAUCAGAAAGCCACGGCUAACUACGUG